GUCUAUGGCCAUACCGCCCUGAUCGCACCGGAUCUUGUCUGCUCUUGGAAGAUAAGCAGGGUUGUGCCUGGUUAGCACGUGGGUGGGAGACAGAUCUCGACCUUUCUCAGUGAUGGGAAGGAGCCAGGAAA
rnacentral:rRNA from 1 species